rnacentral:misc_RNA from 1 species
CUCUGGAUUCCUCGACGAAGAUUCGGCGGAGAAUUCCAAUCACUGGGAAGGUCAACUUCAGCGCAAUCUCCGGCGAGAAGAACAGUUUUUUUCUUGUGGUUUUGAAACGAUCAAGACGCGAGAGGAGGCGAAAGGUCGCCCACGACAACGAAGACGAAUAUUACCUCUCGUCGGCGACGAAGACGAAAACAAAGACGAGUCAAUCAAAGAAGAAUCCACCGGAGAAUGUGAUGCUGUUGAGACGAAACACCGGCAUCGAAAAGGAAUUGCUCUCCGGCUUCAUCUCGCCGGUGAUGGAUCGAUACGAAUACGAAGAGCGAAUUCGGAAGCUGCAGUCGGAGAAGGAGAAGUACUUAAUGAGCAUACGGCUAAACAAUCUGACGAUGGGAGGAGGCGGAGAUGGCGGCCGGAACGGUUCUGCGAGAUCGGAAACGACAGUCUGCCGUGAUUGCCUGAGUGCGAAAGAAACCGGGAUGGCGGCCGGAUUUCACUGCUGCGCCAACGACGCCGUGACGGCCGGAUUCCGAUCACACGCGGGUCCGAUAGCCCGACCCGUAAAAGAAUCCGAUUAAGGAUCCGGCCCGAAUUAGCUUGUUUUGGUCUUCAUGUUAUGUGCGCUGCGUGUGAAUAACAGAGUAGGUAGAAGAGAAGGAGAGGAAUGGUCAGGGGUUUAUUCCUGUGAAAGUCAAGUACACCGUAAGAAGAGUGUACCAAAGCCUUCCAUUGGCUAUGAUUUCAUCACUUGGACCUUCAGGAGG